rnacentral:rRNA from 1 species
CCUACGGGUGGCAGCAGUAGGGAAUCUUUCACAAUGGGCGAAAGCCUGAUGGAGCAACGCCGCGUGCAGGAUGAAGGCCUUCGGGUUGUAAACUGCUUUUAUAAGCAAGAAAUAUGAUGGUAACUUAUGAAUAAGGAUCGGCUAACUACGUGCCAGCAGCCGCGGUCAUACGUAGGAUCCGAGCAUUAUCCGGAGUGACUGGGUGUAAAGAGUUGCGUAUGUGGCAUAAUAAGUAGCUAGUGAAAUCUGGUGGCUCAACCAUUCAGACUAUUAGCUAAACUGUUAAGCUCGAGACCGUUAGGGGUAACUGGAAGUUCUAGUGUAGGAGUGAAAUCCGUAGAUAUGAGAAGGAACACCAAUAGCGUAGGCAGGUUGCUGGGACGGUUCUGACACGAAGGCACGAAAGCGUAGAGAGCAAACGGGAUUAGAUACCCCUGUAGUC